AGGUGUAAGAGCUGAAUAGGGUGCAAAAAGGAUUAAGGGCGCAAGAACCAUUAUUGAACCCCGAGUCACUUGCCUUGAAUCAGAGGGAGGUGUGGUAAGAAAAUCAUGGUGGCCCAUGGUGAAGUGGGAGCCCAAUUAUGCAAAUGAGGGAUGGAAGAGUAUCAUUCCAUGUUCAGAUGAUUCAAAUUGAAAAUGAAAAACAUGCUCUGAACUUCACCACACCCGGCCUGAGAGCCACCUUCCUCUGUCGCCUCCGGCGGCACCGGAAAGCCAAACCAUGAAAACCCUAUAUCAUCCCACUCGUUUGUGUCUCCUCUAUUUGAAUCUAGCAACAAUUUCACACAAUUCCAACCCUGAAGCCUAAACCGAAUCGAAAUUGUGCAAGAACCCUAGGUACUAAAAAGAUAAAUUAAAUCUUCCUCUCAAGGAAUCAAAGCUCAAGUGGUUGGGGCUUUGAUUCCCCACAUCCUAACUCACAUCUCGAUGACAAUCUUGAAGCAAAAGAGAUGGAAAUGAGGAUUUACCCUACCGGAGGCUCUAAAGGCGACGACGGUGAACUUUAAGGUUGAUGCACACAUGAAAGAAGGAUGGAACAAGGCCUAAACAUGUUGUUCAUCUAACUUGCAUUUGAAGUUUUGAAUUAUGGAAAUCAUCAAAGAUCAAGAGUGAAAGAAAAGAUGACUUAUGGAAAAGUGAAAAGAAAUUAGGGUUUAGGAUGGGCAAAAAUAAUCAGUUAACCAAAAAGUCUAACGUAGGUAAAAAGUUGUAUUUUUGUUGGCAUGGAAUGAUUUGCAAUGACUUUGUGAUGUAUUCUAAUGCUAUUUUGUAAUGAAAUCCUCUUUAUUUGAAAUGCAAAUGGACUUGGAAAUGAAA